UCCAUUUUUUUCUCUCUUUCAAACUCUCACAACUCUCUCAAUUCUCACUUGUUUUUGUUCAUUCAAAGUGCUAAUUUGCUUAAUUUUGGUCAAGGAAAUUGAUUUUAGUAAGCUCUUUCUCUAAAAAUCAAGGUACAAUGGGGGCUAAAAAGCCGAGUAACAAACGCCAAAAGCCCGUGGCUAACAAAGAACCUUCAAGUGCCACGGUUCGGCAUUCGACCGCGAGUGAGAAAAAGAACCUCAAGAUAAUCUCUCCCCUUGAAAUCAAUCCAACCCGUUUUGCGGAUAGGACUUUGCUCCAAAAGAUGGGGAUACUUGAGAGGUUUGAUGAGUUAUUCGUUGGAAUGGGACUUGAGGUGCUUGCACGAAUGGAUUAUCCAACUUACCCCGACCCAACCAUCGAUUUUUUGUGCACAAUGGAGUAUACAUUUGUGAAUCCGAGAGUUCCUAAAGCUCAAGAGGGUCCCAUCACUUUCAAGAUCAAGUCUACGGCCUACACCAUCUCUAUCCCGGAUCUUUGUGAAGCUUAUGGUUUUGAGAACAAUAGCUUGAUGAGUUUCCCUAAGUUCGCGAAGAUUGAUGUUUUAUGGGAUGCGCUAGCAAAAGGGAACUACGUUAGCCACAAGGCAAAGAUCACAAAGAUUCGCCAUCCGGUCAUGCGAUACACGAUGAAACUCCUCGCCCAUGCCUUGUUCGGGAGAAGUGAGACGGGUACAUCAACAACAACGGAGAUGUGUUUUGCUUUCCAAGGGCUUAAAAACGUUUUGGUUGAAGAUACCGAUGAAUAUGGUGAGGGACCAAUUGUGCAAGAUUGCCUUGGGAAUGAUGUGAACUACGGUUGCGUCUUUGCAACUUAUCUUGUUGGGUACAAGAAAAUGCUCAUUAGGGGACGAGCAAAGGCUAUACACAUUGGCGGGAUUCUUACGCCUCUUUUCACCAAAGCGGGAGUGGAUCUCUCCACGUUUCUUCCAUGCCCGUCACGCGCUUACAUUGACUACGUCUACUUGGUCAACACCUCGACGUUAAAGGCUAAUAAUGAUCCCAACCGUUUCAUCUACAAGUUUACGGACAUAGAUGAGGAUGACCAAGAGUGUAUGCUACCUUUAGACGAUGGUAAUCUCACUUGUUUAUCCUCCCAUGAACUAGUGGAGUUCAUAGUAAGUGUAGAGCAAUGUGGAAUGCCACUUGGUGAACCAAUGGAGAUUCAAGAGACUUCGCCAUCACCUCCGUCUAGACCAUCCCGAGAUGAUCCUUACCGCCUCAACACUUAUGAGCUUCCUAAAUUCAACUUCAAACCGAAGACUAAGACGGAAAAGAUGCUUUCUUCCGUGAUCAAGUUUCAAAGAAAGAUCAACAAAUGGCAAGCUUAUGCCAUUGGGAAGCUUUUCAAGACGGUUAAGAAGCUCAAACCCGAGGGAUAUAUCUCUUCCGAGGAUGAGGACUUGCACCGCCCUCAAGAUAGUGAGGAUUAGGACCAAGAAGACAAUGAGGCGGGUGAUGAAGAAAGUUAUGAGGCAACGGAGGAUGAUGAUGAGGUAGAAGCUCGACGAUCCACCGGAGAUUGUUCUUCAAGCAACCCCGCGAUCAUUGAUCCACCACGACGCUCUCUCCAAGUGCCAAUCCAAAAACAAGGCAAACCUCGGACAAAGAAAGCUAGCAACGCUCGUUAGAGCACUCCAUGAUUGUGAAAUCUUGAGAGAAUCGAGAACGACAAGGUAUUACACUUCUGGUUCACCAUGAAGAUGUGUCAGUGUCUCGACUUGUAACGAAUCAUCAAAAACAAUUGGAUUAGCAGUUUCAUUCUGCAACGGAGUAAAAUCCAGAUUGUCAGUAAGCAAUACUUUUCCUCUUGGUUGUAUCACAAUUGUUGCGUUCCAUUGUUGACCCCUUUUCUGAGUAAGCCGUGGAUACGGCACAUAGCAUACUUGAUCUGCUUGAGAAGCUAAUAUGAAAGGGUCGUACUUCCCAUAACGUUUUGCAACGUUAACAUCGAUUA